CCAUCUGACAGUGCCGAAUGGUACCACUUUUAGCAGCUUAUGUUCCCAGUUACAUUAAACAGACAAACAGAUUGACUAUUUUGCAUAUCUCAUCUGACAACAGCUUGUCUUCAUUUGCCGCACACGGGUGGCAGUGCCGAAAGCACGGUGGAUGACUGCAGCCGAGGUCCUGGUUUUGAAUAACAGCAGAUGCCAACAUUUAACUUCAAGAUCAAUCAAUUCUUUUUCCUGAGUAUGGAUAAAAGGUCUCGGAGAGUGCCUGGAGGGGAAUUUCUGCUGUUUACAGCUGAAAACAUAGAAGCCACAUUCAUUACCAAACUUUCUGCAAGGCGUGAUCACAAAAGCGGGUAGUUUUCAGCAAGGGUGUCGCCGGGAAGAAGCCCGGGGCCCGUGGUGCUGUCCGGGACCAGGCGGCUUGAUGUGAGGACAUUCCAUUUGAUUAAGGCAGUGACCAUCUCAAUUGAUCUGAUUCUGGCACCAGGUCUUAAUAGGCAGUGACAGAAAAGAGUCGUUUUCACACUGGCCACUUUUCUCAGUAGCCUGUGGUCGGUGGGUUAAUUAAAAGCUUUCUCCAAGAGGGAGACCAUCCAAGGGGCCAUUCCUCACUCGGAAUUAAAGAGCUAAUGCCCUGAUGUAAAGUCGCCCAACACGCAGCCCAGGGUUUGGGGCUUCCCACUCUUCUCCCCAGCUGCCAGGGCUCCUUCCGGAUGCAGUUCCGUUUUGAGUCUUUCAAGGCGGUGGUUCCACCCCCACCCCCACCCCCUACUGCUUCCUGCCCGUAUCCGAGGCUGGACCACAGCCCCCACGGGGCAUAUGCCCUGUGGCACUCCCAGGAGCAGGAGGGCAUGCCUGACGGGUGUAUGAGGGAUGUAGGUGGGAGUUGGAACCCCCAGGAGAAGCCCAACCAGCUCCUGUCUGCUCUGAGCCCCAUCUGUUCUGUGACAGGGCAGGGAGCCUUCUUGGUUCAAGUAGUGCUGUGGACUUGGGCCAGUUUCGUCACCCACAGCAUGGGGAAAAUACUGUCAUUUCCACUCUGCAGCAUUGCUGCCAGGCUUACAUAUGAUUGCGUCCCUGUGGUAUCAUUUAAUAUGGACGUACUGAAACUUUGAAUUUACCUUCUGAUCUGCCUGUUUUCUCCCUUGGUUGGAAUUGACUCGUUCUGCAAUUCUUCUUUCGUGCUGUUGUCCUGUGUUCUUACCGCUGCCUGAGAGUUGAAUCUGGGCAUAGAACUGGUGGUCUACCUUACCCAUCACGCUGAAGCCCGAUCAUCACGAUUCUGUUUUGGCAGCCUUAACAAAACAGAUCCGCUUAUCUGUUUUAAAUCCUCCUUUUUUUGAUAUCUUUUUGUGUCAUUUGAAUUCUCAUUUGGUGUUUGCGCCUAGAGAAUUACAGGAUUCUUUUUCUCCCCUGUACCUGCCCCCCUGCGUCAUCAUUUAAAAGCAUCAAGACUCUGCUAAGCAAUGGGAUCGCUGGUUCUAUGAGGCUAGGGACCACGUCUGCCUCUCAGGGCUGCAGGCCAGGGGCAGCCUACCUGCCUGGCCCGAGGAGAUCUUUGUGAGUGUUUGCUGUAAAGCCCAUAGCAGCCCUCCCAACCCAGAGCAGAGUCAAUGCUCGAUAAUGGCCAGUAGGUGUACGUGUGCAUGUGUGUGUAAAAUUACAUGCAUUGUAGUGUAGGUUUGUGUAUGUGUCCAUACACAUGCAUGUAAUAUACACAGUAUGUGAUAGAGGGUGUUAUCGGUGAGCGUGUGUGGAUAUAUACACAUAUACAUCAUACGUAAUAAAAUGCAUAUACUUUGUACAUUGAUGGGCCUCUGCAUGAAUAAAGGUGAAAUACAUGCAUAAGAACAAUGUCAACAAAUACCAAGAGCUGUGACGCAUGGGGCAGCCCCUCCUUGUCCUCCACCAGCGUUGUGGUGGAGCUCCCCGUAGUCAAGUCUCAGCAAGGAGCCACCUUGCCAUGGAGCAACUCCCUGCUCUCUGCUCCCCGCCGCCCCCCGCUGCUUUCCAUUCCUCUCCAUCCAGGUGUCACUCAAAGACAACCCCACAUAAUCAAAGCCUGCAGUAGACCCUGUGGUUGGAGUACAUUUUCCACCCAAGUAUCAUUCAAAAGAGUUUUGAAAUAAUCUCUUAAAAAUAAACAAACCAAAACAAAAAAACUUUAAUGAUUGCUCCCGUCUGCCCUAUCAGAAAAAAGAAAAACAGGGGAAAAGGGGGAUUGGGAUUUUUUUUUUUAGGGACAUGCAGAAAUCCAAGGAUCGCCUUGAACUGGGGCAUUGUAAGAGUUAACUCCUACAAUGAGAUCCUGCUCUAUAGCACUGGGAACUCUAUCUAGUCACUUAAUAUGGAGCAUGCUGGAGGAUAAUGUGAGAAAGAGAAUGUAUAUGUGUAUGUGGGAUUGGGUCACUUUGCUGCACAGUAGAAAAGUGGGACAGACCACUAUAAACCAACUAUAGUGGAAAAAAUAAAGAUGAAAAAAAAAAAAAAAAAAACAGUCCAUAGGCAGUAAAUGUUGGCUCUUGUGAAAUUUGCAGUCCUCCCUGGCAGAGUAACCACCAUUAGCCAUUGUGCCUAAUAUAAGGAUAACCAGCGUGGAUUCAUAGCCAAGCCUUCCGUGGCCGCAAGUGUUUGUGUCUUUCAUGCCGUGCACUGUCCUGGGUGCUCAGAGAGGAGGGGUGGGGUGGAGGUGGGGGGCACACAUCAGGCGGGCUCCCUGCCUUCAGCAAGGAGUGCUGCUGGACACUCAGAAGUCCGAAGAGGUGGACAAUUCAAGCCAGGUGGCUAAGGGGACAGAGAACCCUGGUACUCAGAGAUUAGAAUUCUGGGGGUCAAAGAGAUGGCUCUGGGCCCAAGUGGUGUAGCAUAAAACAAAGGGAGAAAGCCCUUUAAAAAGCCAUGCUCAGCAUCAGCCGAGGAGAGAGGAGAUGAGGAAGCCGUAGCUUGGACCACGUGCUGUGAAGGCUCUGGCAUCCACUUAGAGCCGGGAGCGAGAAGCGUUCCCUGCCUAGGCAGGAUCGGGGUCAAGGCACCUCUGGGAUGCCACGUCUCUGUGCGGGCACCUGGUCUGCUGGGGUGCCCUUCUUUCGAAGACUCAAAUGCUUAGGACAUCGCAGCUUGCUGGGGGCUGGGAGCAGACUCACCAGAGAGAACUCUAAAAAAACAGUGAAAUGCCCUAUUUUCCUCCCUCCCUGACACCCCCACCCCCGCGCCCCCCUCAACUUCCCUUAACUCUUUGUGCCUCCACCUGGCAUUUAGGAUCUUUUGUUGUCUUAAUAGAGGCUGAAACCUGCUUCUUUGGGCCUGGAGUUGGCUGUUUUAAUUCAACAGUGGAAGUUUUGGGGUUUUUUUUUUCCCAUUUUCUUUGUUUGUUUUUCUUUUCCAUUUUCUUUUUCUAAGCCAGGAGGACAAUGCAUUUGCAGAGCAGAAGCUGUGUGCUAGGCUCUCCCCGGAUGCCCGAACAAAACCCUCAUUAAUGGGAAGGUGGAUUUCCUGGUCACAGCUUUUAGCCAAAGGGCAAAGGUCGCCCAUUAACCAGCUUCCAGUCUAAACAGGACUGUGUGUAAAAUGACAGGAGAGGAGGGAGACGAGGGAAGAAAAGUCAAAUAUUUGCUCUUAAUUCUCAAGUUAGUAUAUCCCAUUGUGAGUGGUCCACGCACAUCUGGAGGCCCUGGUCCAGGGUCCCCAUCCGUGUGCCCUGCAGCCAGCCCAGGAUGCCCUGGAGAAGCAGCCACCCCAGAGCUGGUACUGGCGGGCAGGGGGCUCAGAGGCCUAGCCUGCCAUGCUCUGCGCCCCACCCCCAGCUUUCAGACCCUGGCCCUGGGGGCCUCUCCGACAGUUCCAGGCAGAAUCAGGAACUCAGAUGUUGACACGGCUUCUAUUGGUUCCCCUGCCUGGAACCCCCUCAAGCCAGCAGGGCCCUGCCGGGUGUGCACCGGCUUUGGUCAGAUUUCCUCUGCCCCCACGCCGGGCGUCUCCACACACCUGCAGCACACCGUGGCCUUGGAGUUGUUCUUUCCCACGAUGAGAAUACUCCUCCCUGGGUCCUGGCCUGCUGGCAUCCUCAGGGUGUCAGCGCCCCACUUGUCUGCCCGCUGCCGUGGGAGCUGCUCACUGGAACUUCGCGAACCCCAGCCAGGAGUGAGCCGCCUCUGACCCUCCCCAGCCAGAGCCAGCAUUCGCAGAAAACACUGGGGUUCUGUGUUCCUCAAAUUGUCCAAGGGGGUCUGCAGAGUCUGGGUCCCGGGAUGGGACAAAGUAACCUCCAGGCACAGGCUACCUCCGUGAAACUUAGGACAGGGAGGAGCAGAGCAAAAUGCUCUCUUCCGCCAGACAAGCCAGUCCCCAGAACAGAGGACAGACAGAUGCAGGGGACAGGACUCACCAUGGCUGCUUGUUUCUCCAACUCUACCAACCCAACAAGCCGCCCUCCUUUCUCUGAGGACACAAGGCUCCGAGAGCAGAGAGGCUGGAAUGUUGUGUGCACACAGGGGUCCCCAGCCUCAGCCUAGGCUGGCUGCAUCCCACAGCCACCUUGCAGGGGACAUCUGGCCCCGGGUUUCCUGCUCUGCUGUCCUUUUGUCUUGAACGUUCUUAUUCAUCGUGAACGUGGGGCCCUGCGUUUUUAUUAAGCCCUAGACACUGCACAUUACAUCACAGAUCAUGACUUCAGUGCAAGUCGAAUCACCUGCAAAGGCUUUAAAGCCCAUCCAGGAGGCUGGUUUGGACUUAACCAGGCAGGCACUCUAGCAGGUGGCCCCAGUGUCUAUCUAUAGCUCUAUGCAAAAAAUCUGUGCCUGGAAGGAACAGGGAUGUGCAUUUGCCCCAAAACUUUUUUUUUUUUUUUUUUUUUGGCCAGACCUGCAGCAUAUGGAAGGUCCCAGUGAGAGGUCAAAUCGGAGCUGAAGCUGCUGGUCUACACCACAGCUGCAGCAACAUGGGAUCUGAGUGCAUCUCCAACCUGCACCGCAGCUCAGCAAUGCUGGAUCCUUAACCACUGAAUGAGGCCAGGGAUCAAACUUGCUUCCUCAUUACUACAUGGGGUCCUUCACCCACUGAGCCACCAUGGGAACUCUGCCCCAACACUUUCAGGAAAACGAGCCCAAGACCCCCAGCCCGGUAUUUCUAUGGAACUCCAUUCGCACCCCUGUAACAGCCCUGGAGCCAUGCCAUUGUGAUAAUAGUUGGAAUGGUGAUGAUGGAAUUUGUGGGAGACUCACUAUCAGCCUGGUGCUUCUCCACGUACUUGGAUGGACCGCCGCAUUUGCAUGAGACUAUGAGAUGGGUCACGUUAUUUCCCCAUUGACAGACAAGAAUAGAAGCUGAAAGUCUAAAUAGUGAAAUCAUUCGCACAGCUAUCCAGAGCGGUUGACUGGAGGCUCCCUCUUCCCCGUUUACAAGUCUUUCUUAUGGAAUUGUGAUCCCCUCCCAGGCCUGGGUGGUGCCCUGUUCAUGUCUCUGUUCCCCCCAUCGCUCACAGCACACAGUAGGGCUUCCGCAAAUGCUUGUGCAAUCAUUUCUUCCACCCGUGAUUCACCACAGUGAUGCUAUUUUCUCUGGGUGGAGAACUCUGUGCUGUGUCUACAGGGCCGUCAAGCACAAUCGCUAAGGAAAAAACCCUCCAGUGUAUUUUUCAAGCUGUCUUGUCUGCAUUCAUAAUAUUAUGAUGGCUUGCAGCUAAACUACGGAGGCAGGACCUCAUGACGCGAUCUUUAGCUUGACCCAGACUGCACCCCCACACAUGUUAGGCUGGAAACGUGACUGGUAGGGAGCAAGAAGUGGCCACUGAAAGCAGAGCCCUCUGCCAGAAACAGAGGGCAUGGCCAGACAGCAGCAAAGACAGCGUGUCCCAUGUACCACACGGCCAUCCACGGGGGACUGGAGAAAGUCUGUUUGGCGCAGGGCUUCUCAUUUUUCCAAAAAGCAAAGCUGUCAGCCCACACAAAGGAGUGUGCAUUCAGCAGGGCCCGGGAAGCAGAGACAUUGCAGACUCAAAAACGCUGGAGGGCUGCAGCUCCCUGGUGGCACAGCAGGUUAAGGAUCCAGCGUUAUGGUCACUGUAGCUCAGGUCACUGCUGUGGCGUGAGUUCAAUCCCUAGCCCCGGAGCUUUUGUACGUAUGGGUUCAGAAAACACACAAAAACACUGGAGGAUAAAAUGAACCAUCUCAAUAGCUUUGAACUUCAGGGCGAGACAUUAGAAAGGACUGGAGAGAAAAUGGACUCAUUUCCCAUUCAUGGUAGAGUUUUCUGGGCAGGGCCAUUCUUGGGUCCUGAGGUUUCUGAGUUCACCUCUUGACCCUGGGGCAGAAACAUCGCUAGAUCAAAGCCAUAAUGAGUCCAAAGACUUACAGAGUAGAGG
rnacentral:lncRNA from 1 species